ensembl:lncRNA novel transcript
UGUCCUCUUGGGGCUAUGCAGAGAAGUUCAUGUUGAUGAAAUGAGCUGUCCUAGAAUGGCAGUUCCCGGGCAGCAGAGCCUGGGCUCAAGGAAGGUUGAAAGAAGGGGUGGCGUGGAGCUGCCAGGUGCAAAUGUCAGGCCAGCAAUGCAGUCCAGCUUGCAUGGACGUGCUUCGCCUAGGAAGUUGUGACUUGGCUGCAUUUUCCACUUCAGGCUACAGAGUGCGGUGGCGCCAGCACAGAGCUCUGCUCAACGUCCCUCUGUGCUUUCACGAUGCUGAUGGAUUAUGAAG